GUCCCCUUCCCCUUCCCCACCCCGCCCCGCUGGGAACACGCGAGCCGUCGCCGCGCUCCCCAAACAACCGCCUGCCCUCGGCCAACCGUCCCCAACGGUCGCCAGCGCGCGGCUCCCGGGCCCCCUCGCUCCUCCCCUCUGGCCCCUCCGAGCGCUGGGGGUGCUUCCCUCCCCGCCUCCUCGCACUCCCACUCGCGGGCACGCCGGUGGCUGUGCCGCCAUGCCCCACCACAGGCUGCUCACGGGCCUAGGCGCGGCGGCCCGAGAUAGGGGCCCCUGAGCCUCCCGGGGGAGGAGAGAGGCAGCGAGCCGCGCUCCGCCCCCUCCCCCCGGGCCGCCGCCGCCGCCGCCUCGCCGCCCCAGCCUGGCGGGAGAAGGAGGAGGAGCAGCAGGCCUCCGGGCCCGGCGCCGCCGCCCGCAGAAAGAAAAAGAUGGCACUUCUUUAAAAAAAUAUAUAUAUAUAUAUAUACACACACACAAACACAC
rnacentral:lncRNA from 10 species